GCAGUCAUGGCCGAGUGGUUAAGGCAAUAAACUAGAAAUCCAUUGGGGUCUCCCCGCACAGGUUCGAAUCCUGUCGACUGCG
rnacentral:tRNA from 1 species